CAAUUUCCAUUACAAACAUUUGAAGCCAGGGAAUGAAAGUCAGUCCUACAUGGUUAAACAAAUUUGCUUGCUGUCCAUAAAGAAUGGCUCGAGAAUUGCAUAUCCACCCCUGACCAGAGGAGAGAUAUGUUAGAAAUAAAGGUGGAGUUAAUUCAAUUCAAUUUUAUCUGUAUAGCGCUUUUUACAGUGGACGUUGUCUCAAAGCAGCUUUACAGAAACAUAUAAACACGGGAUACAGAUUUUAAAUGUGCGAAGCCGGUGGUGACGGUGGAGAGGAAAAACUCCCUAAGAUGUUAAGAGGAAGAAACCUUGAGAGGAACCCGACUCAGAAGGGAACCCGUCCUCAUCUGGGUAACGACGGAUAGUGUGAAAGUAAAGGGAAGUUCAUUAUGGUUUAAUAUGAAGUCUGUUUGGCCUUAGGAGCAGCCGUAGUCCCAGCAAUCUGGAAUUGGAGAAGAUGAGAGCUCCAUCCAGAGGCAGGACAUCCGAACGGAUCAGGCAGGUCCGGAGAGCAGAGAGGAUCAGGAUCUCUAGUAUCUCCAUAAAAUCGCGUGUGGCUCGACAGAAGGAGAGAGGGAGAGAAGAGAUUGAGUUGAGGCUGAACAAUUGUCAGAGGAGACAGGUAAGCAGCCGCUCAUAUAUUCUUGAGUUGUGACUGAGAGGAUUAAAUGAUCAGACUCCAGACCAUGAUCGUUCAGACGUACUCGCUAUGUUCCAGCAAAGUACUAUAAGCUAUAACGUCAACACGACAAAUAUGGGGAUCACAAGGUUCUGUGGCUGGAACAUUAUUUGGUACGUCGUUGUGACUUAUAUGGUCCGGUCCGGUUACUUCCUUACAGCGUACCAGUUUGGUCAUUGGAACAUACUCGCCACGUUCCCACAACGUACAACUACGUCAUCGCGACAAACAUGGUCCGGUCCAGUCAGGUCUUCACAACGGAACCGUGUUAGCUGGGUUUGAAAUUUGGCCAAACUCUGACCUGUUGGUGGUGCGAUAGAUUUGGUGUAUUUGUAGCUGAAUGUGUCCUGGAGCUGUGUGCCAAAUUUCACCACUUUUUACCACAUGGUUCUACGGACUGCCAUGGACAUCCUAGUCAGAAAAAUAAUAAUAAGAAGAAGAAUCUGUAUAAAAACAACAGGUGCCUUUUACUCUUGGUGCUCGGCCCACGCCCCAGAAUGCACUUAGCGCCGGCCCCUCUAAUCAUGGACCGCGUGCAGCAGCCGCCAUAAAUCAUCGCUCCGCAAACGCAGUGAUUAGUGAAGCCAUUUACACACGCGCGCACACGCACACGCAGACUCCUAUACCACUCCAUAAACUAGGUGUACA
ensembl:lncRNA